GUACACGCUGUGACUAGCAUAUCAAUAAGCGGAGGAAAAGAAACUAACUAGGAUUCCCCUAGUAACGGCGAGUGAAGCGGGAAGAGCUCAAAUUUGAAAUCUUAAAGGGUUUCCCUUUACGAAUUGUAGUUUAAAGAAGUGUUUUCUGUUGAGGUUUUGGUAAAAGUUCUUUGGAAUAGGACAUCAUAGAGGGUGAGAAUCCCGUAUUUGACCUUUACUUUCAACUUUGUGAUACACUUUCAAAGAGUCGGAUUGUUUGGGAAUGCAGUCCAAAAUGGGUGGUAAAUUUCAUCUAAAGCUAAAUAUUGGCGAGAGACCGAUAGCGAACAAGUACCGUGAGGGAAAGAUGAAAAGAACUUUGAAAAGAGAGUUAAACAGUACGUGAAAUUGUCAAAAGGGAAGCGUUUGACACCAGUGUUGUUUUUCUGAAAAUCAAUUAAAGAACUGUUUAUGCUAAGUUGUUUAGACUUUAUCAGCUAACUGUCUAGUUUUGAGCUUUUCUUUAAUGCACUUUUCAGUUAACAAGUCAACAUCAAUUUCUUUUGCUGUAAAAAAGCUUGAGGAAGGUGGCUUGAGAUUCGUCUUAAGUGUUUAUAGCCUCUUGCCUAUGCAGUCGGAGAGAUUGAGGUCUGCAGCGUAGAUCCUUCGGGGCUAAAUGCAUUUGUGCUAAGUUAUAGCAUUUUAUAGACAACUUGUUGACUAUGAUUUGUCUUGUAGCUUACUCGCUUAUGUUAUUUUACCUACGCUUAGGAUGUUGACUGAUAUGUAGUCGU
rnacentral:rRNA from 1 species